CUCCAUUACAAGAAGUGUGCUCUUCCAGAACUCUUUUUGAACAAGUAUAAAGGCAUCGUAGGUACCUGGAGGUUUCUUUGAAAUGUGGACUACUUAAAAUACAUGUGCUGUUGCAGCGCAGAUCAGAUCAGCACAAUUCGCUCCAACUCACUCUUGCAGGUUCCCAAAAUUACAAGCCCAGCACUGCCUGGUGCUUUGAGAAAAACUCAGCGAGAAACUGAGUAUGAAGCCAGCUCAUGCUACGGCAGUCUUGCUCACCAAGCAGCAGUGUUAUAAGUACAUUAGCAUUUAGCAAAAUUGUACAAAGCCACGGUCCUGCCUCGAGGAGCUCAUGGCAUCACCAUACAGACAGAGGGACGAGAACAGGAAGCCACAUUAAAAGCAAAAUAAUUAAG
ensembl:lncRNA